UCGAUUUAAUUUGAAUUAUAAAAUUUAUUUAUAUUUAAAAUUUAAAUUAAAUUUUUAAUAAAAGUAUUUUUUUUUUUUUAUAAAUUUAGAUAAAAUUAUUUUAAUUAUAGUUAAUUAUGUAUAGUGAUAGAAUAUUGAAAUAAAUUUGAAAAUUAAAAUAUUUAAAAGAAAAUUUAAAUUAUUGUACCUUGUGUGUCAGGGUUUAUUAAAUAAUAUUUAUAUAUAUUAAUUUUCUCGAAUUUAAAAGAGUUAAGAAAUUAUAAAUUUUAUUGUAAAAUAAAUAUUUAAAAUAAUUUUUUAGUAAUGAAACGUUAUUCGUUUUUAAAUUUAUCUAGUUUUUUAAGAAAUAAAUUUAAUUUAGUUAUUAAUUUUUAUAUAAAUUAUUAUUAAUUUAAAUAAAAUUAGUAAUUAAUAUUUUAAGGGAUAAGCUUUAAAAUAAAUUUUGAAAAAUAAAAAUUUAAAUUUAAAAUUUAUAGAAUUGAAAGUAUUAAUUUUAUUAGUGUGUUAUAACAAAUUUUAGAUUAUUUAUAAUUUUUAUAUUAUUUUCAAUUUUUUAUUAAAAUUAUUAAUUUAAUUAAAUAAUUAAUGUAAUAAUGAUAGAAUUAGUAUAAUUUAUUGUUUAAUAGAAUUAUUAUAUCAAGGUUAAAUUAAGGAACUCGGCAAAUAAAUUUUCCGCCUGUUUAAUAAAAACAUGUCUUUUUGAUAAUAAUUUAAAGUCUGACCUGCCCUAUGAUUAGUUUUAAAUGGCCGCGAUAAUUUGAUCGUGCAAAGGUAGCAUAAUAAUUAGUUUCUUAAUUAGGAACUGGUAUGAAAGGUCGAACGAGAAAAAAGCUGUCUCAAUUUAAUUUAAAUUAGAAUUUUAUUAUUAAGUUAAAAAGCUUAAAUACUUUUAAAAGACGAGAAGACCCUAUAGAGUUUUAUAUUUAUUUAAUUAUUUUUAAUUUUAGAAUUUUUUUUAUAAAAUUUUUUUUAUAAAUAUUUAGUUGGGGUGAUUGGAAAAUUUAAUAAACUUUUCUUAAUAGAUAUAACAUUAAUAAAUGAUUUUAUGAUCCAUAUUUUAUGAUUAAAAGAUUAAAUUACCUUAGGGAUAACAGCGUAAUUUUUUUUGAGAGUUCUUAUCGAAAAAAAAGUUUGCGACCUCGAUGUUGGAUUAAAAUAAACUUUUGGUGUAGAAGCUAAAUAUGUUGGGUCUGUUCGACCUUUAAAAUUUUACAUGAUCUGAGUUUAAACCGGUGUAAGCCAGGUUGGUUUCUAUCUUUAAAAAUAUAAAAUAUUUUAGUACGAAAGGAUCAAAUAUUUAUUAUAAUAAUUUAAUUAAGAAUAUUAUUAAUUUAUAAAAAAUUACUUUGGCAGAAUAGUGCUUU
rnacentral:rRNA from 1 species